rnacentral:rRNA from 1 species
GAGGGGCAGCGGGGGCGAAGCUUGCUUCGCCUGCCGGCGACCGGCGCACGGGUGAGUAACACGUAUGCGACCUGCCCCCCGCAGGGGGAUAACCGGGAGAAAUCCCGACUAAUACCGCGUAACGCCGCUGGGCUGCAUGGCCCGGCGGCCAAAGGAAGCGAUUCCGGCGGGGGAUGGGCAUGCGGCGCAUUAGCUAGUCGGCGGGGUAACGGCCCACCGAGGCGACGAUGCGUAGGGGUUCUGAGAGGAAGGUCCCCCACACUGGUACUGAGACACGGACCAGACUCCUACGGGAGGCAGCAGUGAGGAAUAUUGGUCAAUGGGCGGGAGCCUGAACCAGCCAAGUCGCGUGAGGGAAGACGGUCCUACGGAUUGUAAACCUCUUUUGCCGGGGAGCAACGGGGUCCUUGCGAGGGCCCGAUGAGAGUACCCGGAGAAAAAGCAUCGGCUAACUCCGUGCCAGCAGCCGCGGUAAUACGGAGGAUGCGAGCGUUAUCCGGAUUUAUUGGGUUUAAAGGGUGCGUAGGCGGGCUGUUAAGUCAGCGGUCAAAUGUCGGGGCUCAACCCCGGCCUGCCGUCGAAACUGGCGGCCUCCAGUG